rnacentral:rRNA from 1 species
UCUGGCUCAGACCGAACGCUGGCGGCAUGCCUAACACAUGCAAGUCGAACGAGACCUUCGGGUCUAGUGGCGCACNGGGUGCGUAACGCNGUGGGAAUCUACCCUUGGGUUCGGAAUAACUCAGAGAAAUUYGAGCUAAUACCGGAUGAUGACGUAAGUSCAAAGAUUUAUCGCCCAAGGAUGAGCCCGCGUAKGAUUAGCUAKUUGGUGAGGURAAGGCUCACCAAGGCGACGAUCCUUAKCUGGUCUGAGAGGAUGAUCAGCCACACUGGGACUGAGACACGGCCCASACUCCUACGGGAGGCASCAGUGGGGAAUAUUGGACAAUGGGCGAAAGCCUGAUCCAGCAAUGCCGCGUGAGUGAUGAARGCCUUAUGGUUGUAAAGCUCUUUUACCCGGGAUGAUAAUGACASUACCGGGAGAAUAAGCUCCGGCUAACUCCGUGCCAGCAGCCGCGGUAAUACAGARGGAGCUAKCGUUGUUCGGAAUUACUGGGCGUAAAGCGCACGUAUGCGGCUUUGUAAGUAAGAGGUGAAAGCCUGUAGCUCAACUCCAAAACUGCCUUUUAGACUGYAUCGCUCKAAUCCACCAGAGGUGAGUGGAAUUNCNAGUGUAKAGGUGAAAUUCRYAGAUAUUCNGAAGAACACCACUGGCGAAAGCGGCUCACUG